rnacentral:rRNA from 1 species
GAUGAACGCUGGCGGCGUGCCUAAUACAUGCAAGUCGAGCGAAUGGAUUAAGAGCUUGCUCUUAUGAAGUUAGCGGCGGACGGGUGAGUAACACGUGGGUAACCUGCCCAUAAGACUGGGAUAACUCCGGGAAACCGGGGCUAAUACCGGAUAACAUUUUGAACCGCAUGGUUCGAAAUUGAAAGGCGGCUUCGGCUGUCACUUAUGGAUGGACCCGCGUCGCAUUAGCUAGUUGGUGAGGUAACGGCUCACCAAGGCAACGAUGCGUAGCCGACCUGGGAGGGUGAUCGGCGACACGGGGACUGAAACACGGCCCAGACUCCUACGGGAGGCAGCAGUAGGGAAUCUUCCGCAAUGGACGAAAGUCUGACGGAGCAACGCCGCGUGAGUGAUGAAGGCUUUCGGGUCGUAAAACUCUGUUGUUAGGGAAGAACAAGUGCUAGUUGAAUAAGCUGACACCUUGACGGUACCUAACCAGAAAGCCACGGCUAACUACGUGCCAGCAGCCGCGGUAA